rnacentral:rRNA from 1 species
GAUGAACGCUGGCGGCGUGCCUAAUACAUGCAAGUCGAGCGAACAGACGAGGAGCUUGCUCCUCUGACGUUAGCGGCGGACGGGUGAGUAACACGUGGAUAACCUACCUAUAAGACUGGGAUAACUUCGGGAAACCGGAGCUAAUACCGGAUAAUAUAUUGAACCGCAUGGUUCAAUAGUGAAAGACGGUUUUGCUUUCACUUAUAGAUGGAUCCGCGCCGCAUUAGCUAGUUGGUAAGGUAACGGCUUACCAAGGGAACGAUGCGUAGCCGACCUGAGAGGGUGAUCGGCCACACUGGAACUGAGACACGGUCCAGACUCCUACGGGAGGCAGCAGUAGGGAAUCUUCCGCAAUGGGCGAAAGCCUGACGGAGCAACGCCGCGUGAGUGAUGAAGGUCUUCGGAUCGUAAAACUCUGUUAUUAGGGAAGAACAAAUGUGUAAGUAACUAUGCACGUCUUGACGGUACCUAAUCAGAAAGCCACGGCUAACUACGUG